CGCGCCACGCGCAACAAAGCUGAGCGCGGGAGGCGACGCCCACUGACCGCGGUGGGCGCGUGCUCCCGGCAGGCUGUGCGCGACCGCGAACCUUCCACCCGCGCCUGAGGAGCUCACUGCAGCUGAGAGCGCGGGAGGCCGCCUCGCGAGUCCCAAACAGGUUUCUAAAACAACGAACUUAAUGAGAGAACAGCCACCACAGACCUGCGCUCUGUCAGCAAGAAGCCUGAGUUCUCGGAGGUGCAGUUAAUGUCUCAGGGUCCACGAUGCUCACAAAUGCUAGAAAUCUAAGGUCAGGAAGGAGCUCGGCGACGCUCGCCCGGGUCUCCAGCAGCGAGCGGCCGACGCUCCUGCCGGAAGCAGCCGGGACACGGCGGCCGCGCGUGUUCUCCAGGCCUCCCCGCCCUCCUCCCCCCCU